AAUUAAUGCAAGUGAAACAUACUUUCAUUUGGGUCCAGUCUUCGUUGUACGGCGUCUGGUCCUGUUUGUCUGUGGAGUUUAAAUACUUGGCCCUAAACUCGUCUCCUAUGAUACGCAAGUGUUUGGCAAACACCAUACUUCGCCGCGUCUGCAGAACAAUAAAAUGAGAUAGAACAAAGAAAAUCAUACACUGAAAGAACAUGAAGAAACAGCAUGGCUCACCAGCAAUAAACUCCUCAUACUCAAUGACUGGUAUGUUAGCCUGCAGGCUGGUUAUGCUGAAGAACUCCCCCCACGGGAUGCGAACCUGAUGUAUAUCAGGACUCUGCCAGUGAUACAGAUGACCCCAUGGAGGCAACACUAGCACCCAGUCACCAUUUUUUCUCAAUGUCUUCAGCAAAGAGGCCAUGCGAAUGUACACAUCUCGGCGAAGAUUAAAGCCCUCGGGUGGAUUUACAUCAUAUAGGAGGUAUCUGAGCAUUG
ensembl:lncRNA